GCUAUGAGUCCUUCAUGAGCCGACAAAGCCACGGUCUUAUUCUCCAACAUAUUCCAUAGCUCCAAAGACUGAACCAACAUGGAAACAUUGCAUGUCAUGAUAAAAUUGCAAGGUAAACUAAAGCCAACAAAUAAGUACAAGG